UUUUAUUCGUAUACAUAUGUGGAUAUCCACAAACAUCCAACAUGUGCUUUAAGUUUAAGGGUAUCAUGAAUUUUAUUGUCAACAAUCAGAUUCAAACUGCUACUUUGAUGUAAUAUUGUGUGUAGUCUCUUGGUAUUGUGUGUGUCUAUUGCUCUUUUCCAACUAUUAAUAAUAAUUGACAUUUGUUGGGCACUAACAGAUACUGUGUCAAAAGCUUGAAUAUUCCCAACACCACCCUGAGGCAGGAACUCCCAUUAGCCCUAGUUCCAGAUGAGGGAUCGAGGCCAAGUGAGUUCAGUACCUUGUCCUAAGUCAGUCAUGGGGCUUGUGUGUCUGCCCACCUGCUUUUGUGUUCCUUCAACAAUCACAGUAGGAGAAUGAAUCCUGUGGGAGACACAGGCGUGCAGGAUCUGCACAGAGAGGCAGGGAGCACACACGUGGCGAAGGUUCAAUGUAACGCACAAGGUGGUCUCGCGGGAGCAGCAGCAGUUGGCUCUUAUGGGCACCACCUGGGCCCUGGCUCUCCUUGAGUGAGCCGGAUUGCAUCCACCAUUUCAACAGCCUCUGGUGCUUGGACAGCCGCUCAUCUCAGUCCGUUGCUGAGGUUAAAGGCGUGAAAUGCCAGGUGUCUUCUGAAAACCUCUACCUGGUGGUGUCCAGCCCUUCAAGUUGAGCAGGACCACACUCGUCACCCCCCACCCCAUCUCCUGUUUCUUUCCUGUUCUCUCAUCACCACUUACAGCAUGGGUUCCAGAUUCAUGUCCAGCUUCCCCAACCCCAACACAAAGCAACUCACAAGAUUUCAAGGUACACAUUUUUUGUGUGUUGGGCUGGAUUGAAGCCUGUACUUGGGAAAAAAAAACAAAAAAACAAAAAACCCUGGGAUGGAAAGAACUUUCACAGCAAAGAGUCAGCAGCAGUGUGAUAGCUGAAAACUGCACAUCCUCUCUGCAAAAAGAGGCAGCAUGUCUAACGGAUGUUUCAAAUCUAGAAUUUGAAGAUUAGCAUUUUCAAGAAGAUGAAGUGUCCCUCUUGUUCUCAAAGAAGAGGUCCAAGUGAUCAUGGCUUGGUCUGUGGAAACUGAUGAUACCUUUCCAUUUGCUGCGAAAGUCAAGGCCUUUUGGCUGCUGCAUCUGUAUUUGUGGCUGCUGCUCCCAUGGCUGCUGCCCCAGCUCCAGCCAAGGUUGUAGGAUAUGAAGUGUCAGACUGGAAUGAGGAUAUGGAAUUCGAUCCCUCUGACUAAUCACCGAAUAGCAACCAACUCUGCUAAACUUUCCUUGUGAAACAAAGAAAUAAAGGCUUCCAUCGCUUAAAAAAGUCAUGGGAAUAAAAACAAUAAAUAAAAUCAAAACUAUGAAAAAAUAUUUAUCAUAUGUACUACUGAAAAUGUUUAUUUCCCCAACUUAUGAAGAAUUUCUACAGGGCAACAAGGAAAUGAUCCAGUGAACAAAUGGGCAAAUGAUGGAAACUAUUCAGAGUUAAGGAAAUACUAUUAAUAGAAAUGAUACAUUUGAAAAAGUACUCAGCUUAACUAAAAAUAAGAGAACGUCCUAUUAAGUCAAGCUAAGACUAUUGGGGGUACUGUAUUUUAGCUAUCACAU